GAUGUUUACGGUUCACAAUCGGAAAGUGAAGUGACGUCAGAUCACAAUGAACCGACCUUUAUACUGAGCAAUAGUUCGCAGUUUGGCGAUGGUAGCACCACAGUCGGUUCCUGGAAGGCAUUAAUUAGGCAACUUGCAACUGGUACCGGGUUCCUGGACAUACAGCUGAAUCUCCAGUAGCCCAGUGUAAGAGUUAACUUGAAGGUAAGGAAAAUAGCAAUAGCCAUUGAUUUUCUCAGCACAUUUAACCACUUCAGG